CUAAACGCAUCUCAUAAUACAUAGAAAUAGUGUUUUCCAAUCAUCCUUUUUUGUUUUUACUAUUGUUCGCGUUUAUGUCAUUGUGUUGUAUGCGUUUGGUUUUGUUUUAUCAUUUUCGUGCGAUGCGUAGCGGUGCGUUGCGUUGCAUAGUCGCGAUCAUUGUCGACGGCGGCGAUAAGCCUCCGUGUGCGACCGACCGGGUACGUAAUCGCGCUGUUAUCGUCGCACGGAAAUGUUCGUUUUGUUUUAACGUUUUGAAUUUUAUCGGUUAUGUAAUAUGUUUUCAGUAAAAGUUAAAGUCAUGCUCUCAGUGCCACAAGUUUUAUUUAGUUCGUGUGUUUGUUCAGUUUUGUGUGGUGGCACUGAGGCACUUAUCUUCAUUUUGUGUUGUCCGGCGGCAUAGCCUUCGUGGUGAAUCUCGUUGCCACCGUCGCUCUCUUGUGUUUACUGUUUUCCUUCUCGUGGUGUGCACAUCAACUAAGCGUUCAUGUUCCUGUGUCUGCAGCCAUUUUCUUGGUGAAAAACACGUUGUCGUCACUUUUUCGUUUUGUGAAUCGACCAUCUGCGGUCGCCUGUGAAUAACGUUGUUUUGUCAAUCGUGUCAUCGUUUUGGGCUGCAGAACAAAAAAAGUUGUUUUUUGUCUUCGUUGGUGAUUGUGACUUGAUGGUCGCACAUACUGGACUGUGACUUUUGUAUUUGUAACACUGCGGUGUGCCGUCACAGUUCUGGUGCGGUUGCGUUGGGAUAAAAUCUGCCAUCAAUCACAAUCACAUGUGAGUAUUGGUCGACCAUAUUUGUUUGUUUUCAUUGUUUAAAGGCCGACGGGCCUAGCCGUCAAAGGCUAGUUAUUAUUAAAGAUAUUGUUCUUAUUAUUUAUUUAUUGUGUGCCAUAUGGGCCACAUAUUUUUCUUGUAUUAGUUUAUUGUAUUAUUUUAUUGUAGUCACAGCGCUAUAAGGCCAGUAUAUCAUUGUUAUUAUACUUAUUAUCAUUGUUAUUACAUAAAUCAUUGUUAUUAUUUGUUAUUAUUUUUAUUAUCAUUGUUAUAUAAAUCAUUGUUGUUAUAUUUUAUUAAAUUAUCUCAUUUAUUUAUUUUAAGUAAGGCGAACAAGCCAGCCUACUGUUGUAAUAGGUACUUGCCGCGCCAACAACUAUUUUAAUGUGCAUCCAAACUUUUAUGCAUCUGAAUUUCUCAUUAAUAAAAUGUAUGCGUGUUUAUUAUUUAACAAAAUAUUUCAAGGAAAAUAAACAUUUUUUUAGUGUAUUAACAAAUUUUAUUGUAUUAAAUCAGUGAUUUCCAACCCAUUGGCCACUUGCAGCAUGGUACUGGGUCGUGAAUCAUUAAAUAUUAAAUAUUAUUUUUAUUUUUAUUAUAUAUCGAAUAAUAUUUCUGGUUAUAAUAAUAUUUUAUUGAGAAUAAUAAUUUUACAAUUAAAAAUAUCAAA